GACGAACGCUGGCGGCGUGCCUAAUACAUGCAAGUAGAACGCUGAAGAGAGGAGCUUGCUCUUCUUGGAUGAGUUGCGCACGGGUGAGUAACGCGUAGGUAACCUGCCUUGUAGCGGGGGAUAACUAUUGGAAACGAUAGCUAAUACCGCAUAACAAUGGAUGACCCAUGUCAUUUAUUUGAAAGGGGCAAAUGCUCCACUACAAGAUGGACCUGCGUUGUAUUAGCUAGUAGGUGAGGUAACGGCUCACCUAGGCGACGAUACAUAGCCGACCUGAGAGGGUGAUCGGCCACACUGGGACUGAGACACGGCCCAGACUCCUACGGGAGGCAGCAGUAGGGAAUCUUCGGCAAUGGGGGCAACCCUGACCGAGCAACGCCGCGUGAGUGAAGAAGGGUGUCGGAUCGUAAAGCUCUGUUGUAAGUCAAGAACGAGUGUGAGAGUGGAAAGUUCACACUGUGACGGUAGCUUACCAGAAAGGGACGGCUAACUACGUG
rnacentral:rRNA from 1 species